AUUGAACGCUGGCGGCAUGCCUUACACAUGCAAGUCGAACGGCAGCAUGAUCUAGCUUGCUCGAUUGAUGGCGAGUGGCGAACGGGUGAGUAAUACAUCGGAACGUGCCCUGUAGUGGGGGAUAACUAGUCGAAAGAUUAGCUAAUACCGCAUACGACCUGAGGGUGAAAGUGGGGGACCGCAAGGCCUCAUGCUAUAGGAGCGGCCGAUGUCUGAUUAGCUAGUUGGUGAGGUAAAGGCUCACCAAGGCGACGAUCAGUAGCUGGUCUGAGAGGACGAUCAGCCACACUGGGACUGAGACACGGCCCAGACUCCUACGGGAGGCAGCAGUGGGGAAUUUUGGACAAUGGGCGAAAGCCUGAUCCAGCAAUGCCGCGUGUGUGAAGAAGGCCUUCGGGUUGUAAAGCACUUUUGUCCGGAAAGAAGUGGCUCUGGUUAAUACCUGGGGUCGAUGACGGUACCGGAAGAAUAAGGACCGGCUAACUACGUG
rnacentral:rRNA from 1 species